rnacentral:rRNA from 1 species
UCGGGAAUAUUGCGCAAUGGAGGAAACUCUGACGCAGUGACGCCGCGUGCAGGAAGAAGGUUUUCGGAUUGUAAACUGCUUUAGACAGGGAAGAUGAUGACAGUACCUGUAGAAUAAGCUCCGGCUAACUACGUGCCAGCAGCCGCGGUAAUACGUAGGGAGCAAGCGUUAUCCGGAUUUAUUGGGUGUAAAGGGUGCGUAGACGGGAGGUCAAGUUAGUUGUGAAAUCCCUCGGCUUAACUGAGGAACUGCAACUAAAACUAGCUUUCUUGAGUGCUGGAGAGGAAAGUGGAAUUCCUAGUG